AGUCGAGUAUCGUCGAGUAUCGCCCAGAGACCGGCAGUUGGGUGUUUUGUGUGAAGCACUUCUCCAAGUACGGCCUGGACGAGGACGAUAACAAGAUGACGCUCCAUUCGUUGCGGCCCAGCGUGUAUCCGAGGAUAUUAGAGCUGGAAAAAACAUCGAUGUAACAUCGAUAGUAUCGAUGUUACUCAAAAAUGUUCAGCAUCGAUGUUUUUUCUGCAAACAUCGAUUAUCGUCACUUACAACCGAAAGACAGAACUCGUUAUAAGAUAACAUUUUUGUGGUGUUGGCGUGGAUCGUAGUAGCGCCAUGGACAAGUUUGUAAAAAUAACGGCAACUCAAUUGGACGACGUUGGAAAUAACGAAGAAGACAUCAUAUCUAGUCCCAAGCGACCCAAAAAGGACCUCGCUAAAACCUAAAAUCAACAAAAACAGCUUCCUAUCAGAUCUCAAUUAAAAAUUUAAGCCGCAAACAAAUUUUUGUAUUUUUUAUGUCGAUAAUCGAUUAUAAUCGAUGUCUUCGUCCUAAAACAUCGAAAACAUCGAUGGUGGCAAACAUCGAU